rnacentral:rRNA from 1 species
AACUAACGCUAGCGGCGUGCCUAACACAUGCAAGUCGUACGAGAAAGUUGGCUUCGGCCGGCAAGUAAAGUGGCGCACGGGUGAGUAACGCGUGGAUAAUCUACCCUUAAGUUUGGAAUAACGUACCGAAAGGUGCGCUAAUACCGGAUAAUACUGAGUGACUACUGUUGCUUAGUCAAAGAAGGCUUCUGUUUACAUGCUUUUGCUUUGGGAUGAGUCCGCGUACCAUUAGCUAGUUGGUGAGGUAAAGGCUCACCAAGGCGACGAUCUGUAGCGGGUCUGAGAGGAUGAUCCGCCACACUGGAACUGAGACACGGUCCAGACUCCUACGGGUGGCAG